GAGAUGUAAGCAUGGCAACAUGUUAAGUUGACUGAUACUAAUAAGUCGAGGGCUUGACCAAA
rnacentral:rRNA from 1 species